rnacentral:tRNA from 1 species
AAGGUCUUAGUUUAAUGAAAUUACCUGUUUUGCAUGCAGAAGAUGUGGGAUAAAGUCCCGCAGGCCUUA